CGCGCACAUGUGACAUGCCUCAUGGUCGUCGCCGCUCCAGGCACCCUCCCGUGGCCUCACCUCCCUCUCCCUUCCUCCUCCCACCACGUCUGACGCCUCUAACGUCGCCGCAGCAGCAACAGACGCCACCACCUCCACGUAUGACAUCCAGAUCUUCGAGCCCACCUCCAUCGAGGAGCGUCACUGCCUCCUGCUCCAGCGGCGUCGCCUCCGACUCGCCGCCUCCCAUGCCUCGCGGCUUGCCAUUGCCUCGCACGUCUCCUCCAAACUCAUCGGCGCCGCUGCCUCCUGCUCCAGCGGCGUCGCAUCCGAUCUGCCGCCUCCCCUCCUCGUGGCUCGUCGUUGCCUCCCGCUUCUUCCCCAACCUCGCCCCUGCCGCCCUUGGAGGAUCCCAAAUCCGACGACAGGCUCAGUAGGCCCACGCAGACACGGAUGGGCUAUGAACUCCAUGUUCGCUUUUUUCUUGUACACCAAUUAUAGUCCUCCAGCGCCUACGAUUUUUUUGCGAACUUUAUACUAGUCCUUCGCUCAACACUGCCUUUGGUUGCAAUGGAAGUUGUUACUGUUGUUGAUCGUUAGUUGCUUUUAUUAGAUUUAUGCAUUUUUUCUUCCUAUUUACAUUUUCAAAGUUGUUACUAUGGUUCUGCACUAAUACUACAUAUUGAUUAC
rnacentral:misc_RNA from 1 species